GAGGAAGGUCCCCCCACAUUGGAACUGAGACACGGUCCAAACUCCUACGGGAGGCAGCAGUGAGGAAUAUUGGUCAAUGGACGGAAGUCUGAACCAGCCAAGUAGCGUGCAGGAUGACGGCCCUAUGGGUUGUAAACUGCUUUUGUAUGGGGAUAAAGUUAGGGACGUGUCCCUAUUUGCAGGUACCAUACGAAUAAGGACCGGCUAAUUCCGUGCCAGCAGCCGCGGUAAUACGGAAGGUCCAGGCGUUAUCCGGAUUUAUUGGGUUUAAAGGGAGCGUAGGCUGGAGAUUAAGUGUGUUGUGAAAUGUAGACGCUCAACGUCUGAAUUGCAGCGCAUACUGGUUUCCUUGAGUACGCACAACGUUGGCGGAAUUCGUCGUGUAGCGGUGAAAUGCUUAGAUAUGACGAAGAACUCCGAUUGCGAAGGCAGCUGACGGGAGCGCAACUGACGCUUAAGCUCGAAGGUGCGGGUAUCAAACAGGAUUAGAUACCCUGGUAGUCCGCACAGUAAACGAUGGAUGCCCGCUGUUGGUACCUGGUAUCAGCGGCUAAGCGAAAGCAUUAAGCAUCCCACCUGGGGAGUACGCCGGCAACGGUGAAACUCAAAGGAAUUGACGGC
rnacentral:rRNA from 1 species